UACGUAGGGUGCAAGCGUUGUCCGGAAUUAUUGGGCGUAAAGAGCUCGUAGGCGGCUUGUCACGUCGGAUGUGAAAGCCCGGGGCUUAACCCCGGGUCUGCAUUCGAUACGGGCUAGCUAGAGUGUGGUAGGGGAGAUCGGAAUUCCUGGUGUAGCGGUGAAAUGCGCAGAUAUCAGGAGGAACACCGGUGGCGAAGGCGGGUCUCUGGGCCGAUACUGACGCUGAGGAGCGAAAGCGUGGGGGAGCAAACAGG
rnacentral:rRNA from 1 species